rnacentral:rRNA from 1 species
UGGGUUUAAGGGUCCGUAGGCGGAUUUGUAAGUCAGUGGUGAAAGUUUGCGGCUCAACCGUAAAAUUGCCAUUGAUACUGCAAGUCUUGAAUCAUUGUGAAGUGGUUAGAAUAUGUAGUGUAGCGGUGAAAUGCAUAGAUAUUACAUAGAAUACCGAUUGCGAAGGCAGAUCACUAACAAUGUAUUGACGCUAAGGGACGAAAGCGUGGGUAGCGAACAGGAUUAGAUACCCUGGUAGUCCACGCCGUAAACGAUGGUCACUAGCUGUUUGGUUUUCGGACUGAGUGGCUAAGCGAAAGUGAUAAGUGACCCACCUGGGGAGUACGUUCGCAAGAAUGAAACUCAAAGGAAUUGACGGGGGCCCGCACAAGCGGUGGAGCAUG